rnacentral:snRNA from 1 species
GGGUAUGAGGGUGAUCUGGUCAACUGGACAGAUGUCUCCUUAUUCCCUCACUACUUCAUGUGAGUUCCUUCCAUAAGUUUUCGGCUACUAAAAGAAGAAAGCUUCUUCAAUGUGUGUGGGAGAGGUAGUCUUUAGUUAGUAUACUAGAGUAAAUGUGCCACCCUGCUAGAAACUCCAAAACAACUCUGAAAAUACAUUUACAGAAUAUUCAAGUUUCUAAGACUCAAUACACAAGAAAAUGAGGAAUGCAUGUAACAUUUUGCCGUUUUUU